UUGAUGCUCAGUGACUGGUGGUGUUGGA
rnacentral:piRNA from 1 species